UAUAAAAAAAAAGUUAAUUUUUGAAAUGUCGGGUGCCAAGUUCACAUAACUCCGAAAUGCGAGGUGAAAGUAUCUCGUCUCAUGAACUCCGAGGGGUGGUUUUAUUCCCUAAAUACGAAGACACAGGCGAAUGUAAAAAGAAUCACGGUAGCGAAUGGAGGCGAUCGCCGCAAAGAUUCUCCUCGCGAAUCCAGCUGCAGUAAUUCUAGGAUUACUUUCAUAACUUUGGAAAAAAGAGAAGUAUUUACUCCUGUACGCAACAGCGUUACGUAGCUGCACUUUCUUCCCUGAAGAAGUGGAGCAGAUGAGCUGAAGAGGAUGAUUUAAUCUGUCUCGCACCAGGCCACUCGGCCCCGAGGCAAGAUCCGCGCAUAACCAGCCCGUUUAGAUUCCCAACACGAUUAGCUAAUCGCCAUUAACGAUUUACCGUGGAUUACGCCUGCGGUCGCGGUUCACCCUAUUAAUAUUGUUGCAUAAUCACGCAUUUGCGCCACACUUACCCGCGACGAAUGUGUAGCAUUUUGCGAAUAAUCGGACAUUCCGACGCUGCCGCGGUUUUUCUAUUUUCCCGAGAGAAAGAAACUUUUUUUUUUUUUUUUAACGUUAAAGCUUCGAGCAUUUCUUCUUCGAUUCUUUCUUUCGAGGUACCGUUAGCAUUUCUAAUUUCAAGUACAGUUUCGACUUCGCCAUUCCUAUUUUUAUACGAAAGUUCAACUCGAACGUUUUUCAUCGAUUCUACACUCGUCCAUCGAGCACAUCUCGCGCAUCCAUUAGGAUCCAAGGAACGUUGCGUUGUCCGGCAUUCCUGAUUUCAUACGUGACAGACGUUUUCACAGAUUGCACGUGCUCCCCACGCUACAGCCUUUAGAAAAUCAGGCUACUUCGUCCGCCUCGGCGUUUCAUAGCAACUGCAACAGUAUUUCAUGAUGAAAGUCUCUUCCUUUUCAGCGGUGCACAAAACCGAUAAAAACCGAAGAAAAUUGUAAAUAAAUGAGACAACGUUUAUCGCUACUUUAUUCCUUACAAAUCCAAAUUUCGUGCAACUUUGGUCUCCACGAAGAUGUAACGCGACCAACAACGAAAAAGGUUGCGCACCGCUGCCUUAAAUCAUUAAUCUCUCCUUUAAAAAGUGCUCGCGCCAGUCGCUGACGGCGAUGAGCUUUAGCAACUAUGAAAUACUGUUGCAAACUAUCCAUUAUGUCAGGGAAUUUGUCUUAGAAAAAAUACUACACAACAUCUCCGCCUACCGUAUCUUCAUCAAACAAAGAAAAACGUUUCCACCUUCGUCGUUGCCUCUUAUUUCCUUGGAUUUCAUUUCCAAAGAUUUCAUUCCGCAGCAACGUGGCUGCUUAGUCCUCUCGAUUUUUUUUAUUGUACGCUUCUUACGCAAUUUCAAUAGGAAAGGCGAAUAGAAAGAUCGAACCGAGAUGCUUCCCUAUCUUCUAAUAGCUUCUCUACAUUAUAGCGAGCACGUUAGCGUUUCAUCACCGUUGCAACGCCGAAGGAGUGGUUACUAUUGCGUGUCGCAACCGAGUUAGGGUGCUUCAGGCACAUAAAUUUGCUUAAUAAUAGUACGAAACGAACGGUUAAGCCGUAGACACUGUUCUCGUUUAAACGAUGCUCAACCCUGUUCGCUUCUUUCUAAACGACCCACCUGCGAGCAAUUAUGAAAGCUUGCGUCCUCUAAAAGCAAACACCGCCGUGCAACAGUGUCUUCUUGCAGCAAGGCUCUAACCUGAAUCGUUCUCAAGUCGUUUCACGAAUUAAAAUUCAGAUGGCUCGAGUGGAAAGCAACACGAUCUGAGAUGUGGAAUACAACAAUAAAAGUCGUCGACAAGUUCGAAGCUCGUUGGUAAACAUCAGACAAUAUACGAAUUGUACAAUAAACACAAGUUCACUUCCGAGCUUUGAUGGUGGUCGCCGAAAUUGUUCCCGCCACCUGGCGAACCCUGAUUGUUAUUGCCAGCAUAAUUCCCUGGAACUCCGUAUUGAGUGUUUAACUGAGGCUCGCAAUGCACCAUUCCUAUGCUCGCCACCAACACUAGCCAUAACUAAAAAUUAAAACGUCGUGUAGUUACUAGAAUCACUUGGGGUAAAUAAAUAUUCGCAAAAG